CCUACGGGAGGCAGCAGUGGGGAAUAUUGGACAAUGGGGGCAACCCUGAUCCAGCCAUGCCGCGUGUGUGAAGAAGGCCCUCGGGUUGUAAAGCACUUUCAGUGAGGAAGAACGCCUGGUGGUUAAUACCCAUCAGGAAAGACAUCACUCACAGAAGAAGCACCGGCUAACUCCGUGCCAGCAGCCGCGGUAAUACGGAGGGUGCGAGCGUUAAUCGGAAUUACUGGGCGUAAGGCGCGCGUAGGUGGCUUGAUAAGCCGGUUGUGAAAGCCCCGGGCUCAACCUGGGAACGGCAUCCGGAACUGUCAAGCUAGAGUGCAGGAGAGGAAGGUAGAAUUCCCGGUGUAGCGGUGAAAUGCGUAGAGAUCGGGAGGAAUACCAGUGGCGAAGGCGGCCUUCUGGACUGACACUGACACUGAGGUGCGAAAGCGUGGGUAGCAAACAGGAUUAGAUACCCGGGUAGUC
rnacentral:rRNA from 1 species